AUGAAAUUUUUUCUUAAAUCUUAUUCUAAAAUACAUAUUGUCAAAAAACAACUUCAUGACGAAUUCCUCUUCAAGCUUUCAAGUAUUGCUUUACAUACACACACCUUAAACCAGAUCAAGCUUUGUUACACAAGCUUUGUUAAACACCUUAAAAUAUCCAUCAUCAUCAUGCUCCAUCAUCUUCUUCAAUAUGUCGUCACUUUCAACAUUCUUCACACAUCAACGAUUAUCUUUCAUCUCGGCACAUCGCAAAACUUCUUCCACUACAACAUUAACAACAUCGUCCAUUAUCAUCAUCGCAUCGACGCAUUCGUCAACUUUUUGAAGGAAUAA